rfam:Gossypium raimondii Chr02_contig_118, whole genome shotgun sequence.
CACGUCAGCGCUAGUUGCUGACAUGGCAACAAAUCGCGUCCUAAAGGGCGCGAUUUGUUGCCAUGUCAGCAACUCGCGAUGAUGUGG